rnacentral:rRNA from 15 species
CAAACAGACUAAAGGUGCUAAGAUCUUUAGUCAAGAGGGAAACAGCCCAGAUUGAUCGCUAAGGACCUUAAAAAUACAGAAGUUAAAGGAAGUUAAGAAUUUAAAACAGCCAGGAGGUAGGCCCAGAAGCAGCCAUCCUAUGAUGAAAGCGUAGCAGCUCACUGGUCUAGGUUUUUAGCACCGAAAAUUUAAUGGGAUUAAAAGUAUUUUCCGAAGCGGCAAAAUCCAAUUUUUGGAUUGGUAGCAGAAUGUUCUGUAAGUUUUUAAAGC